UCAUGGGUUCCCUGUAGGGUGUCAGCAGCGUGAUGGGAUGAGCAAUGCAGGGAUACCCACCAUCACCCAAAAGGAUCCUUCAGGGCCUUUAUUCUUAUGUGGCAGCCAUCAGUGUUCCCCACAGCCUUUUGGAAGGUGCAAGAACAAGCGAGCUGCUAAAAAACCAGAGGUGACUAAUGGCAGUUCAUUCCCACUGGAUGCUGGGUGACCCUGCUCAUCAGCUGGAGGAUGCGGUCUGCCGCUCACAGUGGACCGUGGCAUGUCAAAGGCCCUGGUUACCACGCCGUAAGAUGCGCCACACGCCAGCCAGAAAAGAAA